AAUGAACGCUGGCGGCGUGCCUAAUACAUGCAAGUCGAGCGAAUGGAUUAAGAGCUUGCUCUUAUGAAGUUAGCGGCGGACGGGUGAGUAACACGUGGGUAACCUGCCCAUAAGACUGGGAUAACUCCGGGAAACCGGGGCUAAUACCGGAUAACAUUUUGAACCGCAUGGUUCGAAAUUGAAAGGAGGCUUCGGCUGUCACUUAUGGAUGGACCCGCGUCGCAUUAGCUAGUUGGUGAGGUAACGGCGCACCAAGGCAACGAUGCGUAGCCGACCUGAGAGGGUGAUCGGCCACACUGGGACUGAGACACGGCCCAGACUCCUACGGGAGGCAGCAGUAGGGAAUCUUCCGCAAUGGACGAAAGUCUGACGGAGCAACGCCGCGUGAGUGAUGAAGGCUUUCGGGUCGUAAAACUCUGUUGUUAGGGAAGAACAAGUGCUAGUUGAAUAAGCUGGCACCUUGACGGUACCUAACCAGAAAGCCACGGCUAACUACGUGCCAGCAGCCGCGGUAA
rnacentral:rRNA from 1 species